UUCAGGAUGGCCGAGCGGUCUAAGGCGCUGCGUACAGGUAGCUGUCUACUCUUGUAGGCGUGGGUUCGAAUCCCACUUCUGACA
rnacentral:tRNA from 1 species